rnacentral:lncRNA from 13 species
CGGGCUUCUUGCUCAAGAAAAAAACAUCCCGCAGCUGAAUCUAGUUGAUGAUCCCUGAUGUAGAGCGUUUAAUUCAGAUUGUUUUCAAAGUGACAACGCUGCUGGCUGAUGAGUUCAUGUGUAGGCUAUAAAUGAUCUGUUCUGUGUUAAUAGAUGACAAGUUGAUACUAACUCUCAGAGCGUAGCAACUGUGUUUCACGGGAAACACAAACGACUGAAAAAAAUCAAGAGAUAUGAUUUUGACAAGAGUAUUGAUAUGGGGUUGUGCUUCUCCAUUCCCCCCCUGUUGCUCACUGCUCAGGAGUCUGGGUUGGUUGACGGACGCUGUGAGGCGUGUGGGUUGGUUGACGAACACUGUGAAGCGUGUGGGUUGGUUGACGGGCGCUGUAAGGCAUGUGGGUUGGUUGACGGACGCUUUGAGGAGUGUGGGUUGGUUGACGAACACUGUGAAGCGUGUGGGUUGGUUGACGGACGCUGUAAGGCGUGUGGGUUGGUUGACGAGCGCUGUAAGGAGUGUGGGUUGGUUGACGGGUGCUGUAAGGUUGGCUGUCAGCAGAGUGUGAACCUUGCUCUCUACAAAAGAGACUGUGAGAAAGCAGAUAAAAGACCACAGGCUUUAAUAAAACAUUGAAGCUCCUUGGCUACAGCCAGUUCAGUCUGAGUGGGAGUUCCUCUCAUUCAGUUACAGACUGGAUUGUUGAGGAAACACACCACAAAGACACAGUCCAGUUUUACUUCAGGUUGAACAGAAAUGUGCAACAAAAUGCUUGCAUAAUAAACUAUGGCCUGGCCUCUCAAAUUAUACGGCUGGUGUAUGUCCUGGCCAGUGGAUUCACAAAUUCAAUUUAUCCAGCCUUUAUUGGACCUUGCAGGACACCGUCCAUUGUGCCAAGCACUUAGUAGCAAGGUUAGGGUGUUUGGAAGGAGUUGAAUAUGGAGCCCUCUUUAUCUACACUCUUAGAAAAAAACGGUUCCAUAGGGGUUCUACGGGUGUCCCUAUAGUAGAAGCCUUUUUGGUUCCAGGUCAAACCCAGGGUUACCACUGGGCAAACACUGGUUGAAUCAACAUUGAUUAUUUUGGUUAAAAUAUCAGUGAAACAAUGUGAUGAUGUUGAAUCAUUGAAAUGCACGUUGAAUUCACGUUAGUUGAAAACUCAAAUGUAAAUCAAAACUAGGUUUGAACUGAUGUCUGUGCCUAGUGGUUUCUACCAAACAGGUACUAACUGGAACAUCAAAGGGUUCUUAAAAGGGUUAUCCUAUGGCAGUGGUCACCAACCGUCGACUGGUCGAUCUCCAAUGCGUUCCUAGUUGAUCACCAAACAUUUCUGUAAAAAAAAAACAAUAGAAGUUAAGCCUUGCGAUCCUAUUAUCUUUAAUUGUUUCAUGCUGUUGUCAGUAGGUGCACUUGAUUCAACAGCCCUAGUGCCGGGAAGGCAAAGUGUUCGCAUUUUGAACCAUUCAUGUGUCUGAAGUUAAAACUCUGGCUAACCGGCAGGACCUGGGAACAGGGUUUCUAGGCCAAUGACCCCUGAAAACACACCCACAAGGCCUGAAAACUAGCCCCCCCCAAAAAAUGUAACUGUUGCAUCAAGAGAGGAGUUGCCACAUUUAUUUGACCC